GAAAUGCGAUAAGUAAUGUGAAUUGCAGAAUUUAGUGAAUCAUCGAAUCUUUGAACGCACAUUGCGCCCCUUGGCAUUCCGAGGGGCACACCUGUUCGAGCGCCGUUUAAACACCUAAGGCUCAGCCUUGCGAUGGCCUCGGUCCCGCCUAUUCUUAGGGGGGACCCGGCCGAAACUUCCUGGCGUCGUCACGCUGUCGGCAAUGCGCAAAAGCAUGAGCCCGAUUAGCGAGGUCGACCGCCCGUUUAAUCGAACGUUUGGCCUCGGAUCAGGUGGGGAUACCCGCUGAACUUAA
rnacentral:misc_RNA from 1 species